CUCGCACAUGGAGGAUUGAAAAGAUUCUUACAUGGAGGAGUGGUCGAGGGGAAGGGGGCGAGAUAAUUGGUAACCAUGACAAAUGAGUCAUUGUUUUGGUUGGAAACAAUUUGUAUCAUGACAAACAUUUCCACAAAAACGCCUACGUCCGUUCUUUUAUUUUGGCCAAUCUAUUUGAGUCCAUCGCUACAAACGUCUCAAGGGACCGGGGACAAUUCUAAAACCAUUAAAGUUUAAAGUUUCAAAGUUCCCGGAGGCCCCGGUCAGAGGCUCCGGUCGGAGGCCCCGGUCAGAGGCCCAGGUCGGAGGCCUCUCCCCCAGCGUUGACCCACCUUGAGGCUGGUCUGCAGGGCCGACUCCGGGGGGUACACGAUGAAGUGGCGCAGCGUGAAGCCGAACCCCUGGGAGGUCUUCCGGAGGAGCAGGGUCCGCGGGCCGUGCCAGGCCAUGCCUCCACCUCCUCCCUCCUCCUCCUCCUCCUCCACCUCCUCCCCCCCCUCCUCCUCCGUCUCUCCCUGGGCACGUCGCCAAGGCCGGCCGGGGGUUGUCACUGGUCGAGGGCAGACCAUCCCUCCUCCCGUUACCCUGGAGACGGACAGAGCAACACACGGGCAGGUUAGCACGGAGGCACCGAGAGUCCGGAGGGACGAGUCACGUCGCUUGUUUCCAAUCGUGAGUCAGCUUUAAUUAAAUGAUCCAAUUAGACGUUACAAUGUCAUGCGUCACGCUAAAGUCUCACCACUGGCGAUCGUUAGAAAUGAAAUCUGCGUUUUUUGUUCCCCCAAAAGCAGCCGUGUCAUGAUUCAGUCCGAGAUGAUUCAGUUACAAGGAUCUGAAUUGUCGGAAAUGUACAGAAAACACUCACAUUUGUAAAGCGAUAGGCAGAAAAUAUAAAUGGUAAAUGGACUGCAUUUAUAUAACCAGUGGUCACUGAAAGCACUUUGCGAUCAUUGCCUAACAUUCACCCAUUCAUGCACACACUCACACACCGACGGUGGGGUAGACCAUGCAGGGCGACAGCCAGCUAGGGGGAGCCGGGGGUCAAACUAGCAACCUUCAGGUUACCAGCCAACCCGCUCCACCUCCUGCGCCACAUUUUCGCCGAAACAAAUGUGUGUCAAAAAAAAUAGACAUUCCCCCAUGCUGCUGCAGCGAUGAACACCUGACCCCGUACCGGGUUUAUCCAGCUGACCCCCAGCCAGGCCUGGCGUCCAGACAGGACUCGAUGCCCAUGUGACCGGCCUGCAUUGACCAGUGUCUGGUUCCACCACCCCGGACCCGGGCUGACAUGUGCCACCGGGCUCCAUGAGAGGCAGCCACUGAGGGCACACUGAGGGGCCAACAGUGACAUCACAUUUAUUUUUACUCGGAAGCUGAGUAAACAACCCCCCCC
ensembl:lncRNA